rnacentral:rRNA from 1 species
GACGAACGCUGGCGGCGUGCUUAACACAUGCAAGUCGAGCGGUAAGGCCCUUUCGGGGGUACACGAGCGGCGAACGGGUGAGUAACACGUGGGUGACCUGCCCUCAGCUCUGGGAUAAGCCUGGGAAACCGGGUCUAAUACUGGAUAUGACUCCAUGACGCAUGUUGUGGGGUGGAAAGCCUUGUGCGGCUGAGGAUGGGCCCGCGGCCUAUCAGCUUGUUGGUGGGGGAUGGCCUACCAAGGCGACGACGGGUAGCCGGCCUGAGAGGGCGACCGGGCCACACUGGGACUGAGACACGGCCCAGACUCCUACGGGAGGCAGCAGUGGGGAAUCUUGCGCAAUGGGCGAAAGCCUGACGCAGCGACGCCGCGUGAGGGAUGACGGCCU